UUGUUUUUGCUUUUUUCCUAAACUACCCUCCCACCUCAUCCACUCUCUCGCUCACUCACCCACUCUCUGUCUCGCCUGCGUCGCCGGCGCCUCUCCCUAGCUCGUGUUGCCGGUGCCUCUCCCUUGCCCGCGUCGCCGGUGCCUCUCCAUUGGCUCCGUCGUCGGUUCCAAAAUCUCAUUUUUAUUCUCCGGUGGCUGAUUUCGAGUGCUUCGGCUCGAUCUGCAACGGCCUUCCUCCACUCCAACGUCGUGCGAAGCACCAGAACGAUGCCAUGGAAGGGCCACCAUGAGCAGGAGCAGGACGACGCCUUGGAAGGUUCACCGACAGGAGCAACUACGUACGGUCUGAUCUUCUCCACUGACAGGGAUAUCGACAUGGAGGUCCGCCAUGGAAGGCCUGGAGCUCGUCAUGGAGGGGCCCUCCUCUCUCUUCCCCUCCCUCUACUCUGUUGGUUGGUUGGACGGAAGACCACCGCUCGUCCGGCUCUGCUUCUUCCACCGUUGCUCCCCUCCCACCAUAGUGCCACAGACGCUAUUGCAAGCACGGAAGAAAUCUUUGGAGUUCCUUCUUCAGAAACUUUUAUUCUGGCGCAGUUUGUACAGAUUUUUAUGUACAGUACGCAAAGUCAUAUGACUGCUGAAAAUGGACCGUCGUAUAUGCCUGUACAAGGUUGGGGGAGGCACGGUCAGCGUUGGUGUAUUUUCAGUUUGUACUGUCAUAAUUUUCAGUUUGUAAAACUGAGAAGUGUAUUUUUCCAUUUUGAAACUGAGAUCUGCUUGCACUAUCAUACAGUAAUUUUCAGUUUGUAGAUGACUUUAAUUGAUGGGUUUCUUCUCUAGAAUUAGAUUCGGGGAGCCGCCUCGAUCCAGAGUACUCGCAAUCCAUUAUAGGGCAGUUCAAAUCCUGCCUCUGGAAGCAUUGGUUGACCUAUUGGCACAACCCAGAUUACAACCUUGUGAGAUUUUCCUUCACUUUGUUCACAGCCUUGCUGCUUGGCUCCAUCCUUUGGAAGAUUGGCACCAUUAUGGGUGGAUGCCAAUACUCUUAGAAUGGUCAUUGGAGCAAUAUACACAACAGUGAUGUUUGUCCCCAUCAACAACUGUGCAACUGUUCAACCAAUUGUUUUAAUCGAGAGAACAGUUUGUACAGAGAGAGGGCUGCUCCAUUGCUCAGCUACUUAUGCAGCGAGGGUACAGGUUGUUCUAGAUGGCUCUGUAGACAGUGAGAAUGAGGAGACUCAAACCCAUGAAGAUUCUAAUGAGGAAAUCGAUUAUGAUAAAUAACAACACAGAUCAGCAGAGAUGAAUCGGCUUCCACCGGAUCCUUAGCUGGUGUAGCCUCAACUGCUUGCUCGGGACGAUUGCUUAGCAUGACGUGCAGCCUCCCGUGGCAGUAGUUCAACUCCUGCACAAUGACACAAAAGGCAUAGACCGUCAGAACACAGUCCAAUGGUUUCUAGACCUGGCGUACAUCGGCACCUCCAUGGCUGCUGAACAGGAUGAAGAGGAGCACUGGAGGAGGACCAUGGCAGCGGUGAGACCCAACCCGUCGUGGCGCCUAGUGAGCAGGCGCACGGGCACACCAGUAAAGCACAGCACAGCGGCGGCCGUGUCCUCCAUCUCGAUGCUUCAGCCGGGCAUCACCAUGCAGUCACACAACGACCUGCACUCCGUGAUAACCUCUCGAUUCCGCCGCCCCUGAAUCUCACGGCAUCGAGGUGGCCAGGGGAGGGCUCGCCGGAGUGGUUUAGGAGAGGACCAGGGGGUUGUGGAGAUCUGGGUGGAGGUGGUUUGGAGAGGUUCGGGGGUGAGGGCGGGUCUGGAUAGGAUGGAGACCGUGAAAGGAAACCAAAAACAUAGGUGAUUUCCUCCCUUUUUUCCAUGCGGAAGAGGUGGAGUCAAACGUUUUAUUUGGAGGAAAAUCAGUGGGGGAGGUCGAUCGAUGCGAGGGUUGCGUGCGAACGAACGAACGAAUGACGUACGGACACCUUCAUUAGGAGUAGAGAUCUCUACUCCUAAUGGAGGAGUCCGUACGUUGUUUCGUUCGUUCGCUCACCCCCCACCCUCCCUCGAUCGAUACCUCCACCAGAUCCCAUCCCCAUCGAUCUUUUAUCUCCGCUGAAAAACCGGUACACAUCAAACCAAGGAGAAAAAACCCACGCUUUCCUAAUCAAAUCUGAUUUUUUUUAUCUCCACUGAAAAACGGUAGGCAUCAUCCCAGGGAGAAAAAACCCACGCUUUCCUAAUCAGAUCAAUAUAUACUUCCACGCUUUUCCUAUAAUCAAAUCAAAUCCGAUUUGUUUCAUUUGUUUCGUUCGCCUCCCCUUCGUCCGUCCAUGUAGCGAUAAAAGGAAACAAACUCAAAAAAAACCGAGAAAAAAUAUUUGGCAGUGAUUACAUCCUAGAACAGCAGGCAGAAGAUAUGGAAGCAAUCACGUCCUAACAACCCCGCAAAAAAGCAAUAUCAGCCUGAUUUACUUCCUAAAACAGCAGACACAAGGUAUGGACAAGAAUCACCAAUUAUCGUAGAGUAUAUCAUUGCCAAAGAAACAGGAUAAUCUCCUCAAAUAUAUCCGUCAUAUUGAGGUUGUUAUUUAAGUACGUACUAUUUGUUACAGGCUUGGUCAUUCAAGGACACCCCUGGAUCAAGCGCUCCCCAUCAAGCACAGCACAAUGACAGAUCAUUGGGAGAUCACACGAGGUCACCUGUUGUGGCAAUCAUGAGUUUAUUGUCACCUACGCCUGUUGUGGUCCUAAAGGACGAGUUCGUACGUCGUUCGUUCGUUCGUCCGCCCCUCCAGGCCUCACUCGAUCCACCCCCCACCGAUUUUCCUCCUUCUCUUUUUCCUGUGGUUUAUUUUCAUCCGUCACGGUUUUAUUUUCCCUGAACCAAAGAGGCGAUAGCUUAGGAGUCAGGAGCCCAGCCCGCACGGUUUUAUUUUCCCUGAACCAAAGAGGCGAUAGCUUAGGCGAUAGCUUAGGAGCCCAGCCCGCACACCCCUCUCUCUCCCCUCAGGCUAGUCCUACUAGGUGACGACUUUGAAGCCAACACGGACUACACGUCGUGUUUAACUCCAACAUGCGCUGUGUCAGCCUUGUUCGGCCUCAUCGGCGCGUACGCCACCAGCGGACGUCUCUCAUUCUUAUCGCACUGGUCGCCGGAGUGUUGGUUUUCAUCGUCCUGCUGCUCCUGGCACUCAAGUUUCUCAGUAGAUGCACGAUAUUCUUCUGCCGCCGAAGCAACGAGCAGCCGCAGCCGCAGCCGCAGCCUCAGCCACAUGAAGGAGGAGAAGACAUAG